rnacentral:rRNA from 1 species
UGCUAACACGUAUGUAAUCUGCCUAUAACUGGGGGAUAGCCCGAAGAAAUUCGGAUUAAUACCCCAUAGUAAUAUUGGAAGGCAUCUUUUGAUAUUUAAAGCUCCGGCGGUUAUAGAUGAACAUGCGACUGAUUAGCUAGUUGGUGAGGUAACGGCUCACCAAGGCCACGAUCAGUAGGGGUACUGAGAGGUUAAACCCCCACACUGGUACUGAGACACGGACCAG